rnacentral:rRNA from 1 species
UACGUAGGUGGCAAGCGUUACUCGGAAUCACUAGGCGUAAAGCGCAGGUAGGAGGUUUAGUAAGUCUGUUGUGAAAGCUCCCGGCUUAACUGGGAGAGGUCAACGGAAACUGCUAGGCUAGAGUGCGGUAGAGGAGACUGGAAUUCCUGGUGUAGCGGUGAAAUGCGCAGAUAUCAGGAGGAACACCGGUGGCGAAGGCGGGUCUCUGGGCCGAUACUGACGCUGAGGAGCGAAAGCGUGGGGAGCGAACAGG